GACGAACGCUGGCGGCGUGCUUAACACAUGCAAGUCGAACGGAAAGGCCCUGCUUUUGUGGGGUGCUCGAGUGGCGAACGGGUGAGUAACACGUGAGUAACCUGCCCUUGACUUUCGGAUAACUUCAGGAAACUGGGGCUAAUACCGUAUAGGAUCUCCUGCUGCAUGGUGGGGGUUGGAAAGUUUCGGCGGUUGGGGAUGGACUCGCGGCUUAUCAGCUUGUUGGUGGGGUAGUGGCUUACCAAGGCUUUGACGGGUAGCCGGCCUGAGAGGGUGACCGGCCACAUUGGGACUGAGAUACGGCCCAGAGUCCUACGGGAGGCAGCAGUGGGGAAUAUUGCACAAUGGGCGGAAGCCUGAUGCAGCAACGCCGCGUGCGGGAUGACGGCCUUCGGGUUGUAAACCGCUUUCGCCUGUGACGAAGCGGGAGUGACGGUAAUGGGUAAAGAAGCACCGGCUAACUACGUG
rnacentral:rRNA from 1 species